UUUGCAAACUCAAAACCUCAACUAAAAAAUCACAUAUUACGCUUCUCUUUUUUACUCCUGAUCCUUCCCGCCAGAAACUCGCCUUUCCCGCCGGGAAACCGCUUCCACCUCCGGUACCUAGUCUUUUUCGGCGAAGUGAUCACAUACGGAGGCGUGUACGGAGUGAUUUCGGCAUGAGAUGGUACUGAUUCCGACUCUUUGUUUUUUUGCUCUGAGUAAGAACUUUCUUGUAGCCACACAAUAUUGUUAUUCGCUUCUUUUCAAGCUGAUCGCUCUCUUUCCUCAUGUUCGCUGAGAUCUUGUACAUUGUUUGGUUUCAGAAAAGUAUCAGAAACGACAAACAAUUUCUGUUUGCGUUCUUCACUAAAAAAUUCUUGCCUCUUUUAUGCAGCUUUCUGACUCGCAGAAAGUCUAAAGAGGAAAUGGUUGAGUGGAUGAACUUUUCUCCGGCUCGAAACUUUAGAAACUCUUUGUUUUUAUCCAUCUAUUCAUCUAAUUUUGAAUUUAAUUUUCAGUUGUGUUUUUCCUCUAAAACUAGGACGCUGGACUUCCGUUUGAACUGUGAAGAACUUAGUUGUAUUUUAAAACAGAUUUAUCAUAAUAUUAUGUUGAGGUCGAACGCUUGAAUUUUAGCAAUAUCUUAUUGAACUGUUGUUUUCAUUAAUUAUAAUUCUGUCUCGUGCGGUACAAGUUCAGGUGCACUUACUGGUGAACAUUAGCAUGUUGGUUUGCCUCUGCUCUGUCUGUGUUCCGUGAUAAGAAUUGUAACUGACGUGCCUGAGUUUAGCUGAUAUAGUUUUAGAUGAAGCUCGUGAAUCUGUUCGAUUAAAUGUUUUUUUAUCCAACUUCAUCAAGUGAAAUAGGUAAUAACUGCAAUUCUACAAGCCUUGUUCCUCAAUAGCUUCUCAAGUUCAAAUAUCUUGUACAAAAUCAAAACUGAAAUUUAGUCCUUAGCUAGUUGUACAGCCACAUUUGCUAUUUCAUCCUGAUUAUAGUGUUGACGGGUGGAAGGACGAAUCUACACUUCCAGAGAGUCUAAAAAUAGCAUAGAGUUUCUUUAACGAAAAAGGAUUCAGCGAAUGAAAUCCGAAGCUGUUGUUGGAACAGUUACCGUAACAAAUAUGUUGAUCAGAAGUGACGGAGAUGCUUUAAGAGCUUCGAUAUCUCGUGGCAAGAAAUUUCACGACGAUAUGGAUUAAUUUUCCUGUCCAAAUGGUCCUUCUAAUAGGAAUAAAGACUUUUCAAAGAGAAAAAUGGAUAAGUUUCACUGCAGUGAUCUAGAAUGGAUUGAUGAGAUUCCAGAUGUCCCGUGUAUCAUCCCUCAGAAGGGGAAUUCGAGGAUCCUCUGGUUUAUUUGCAGAAGAUUGCUCCGGAAGCCUCCAGAUUAGGCAUUGCAAUCCAGAUAUGGUCAGACACCCUAUUUUUUUCUAUGCAAAUCAUAAUUCCAUGCCAUAUCUUAAUUUUUUUAUGGAUCUGAGAGCUUUAAAUGAUAAUAUUUUAGUUAGGCAUUGCAAUCCAGAUAUGGUCAGACACCCUAUUUUUUCUAUUCAAAUCGUAAUUCCCAGCCAUAUCUUAAUUUUUUAUGGAUGUGAGAGCUUUAAAUAACAAUGAAUGCUAGCUAGGCUUGAAAUUUGGGAUGUGAGAGCUUUAAAACAUCAAGUUGUGUUCACUCGCAUACUGCUUUGAAAUUUGGGAUAUGCGGUAUUAGUGGUGGAAUAGAAUUUGGUUUUGGUUAUUUUGUGACGUUUAAAAAUAUUACCUAUUAUUUUUGUUUAAACAAACGCUUCUCUAUAAAGAUUACGGACUUCGCUGAAAAUUUUGAAGUCAAGACUGAUCACUUUAAAUGUUUGAAUAUGUAAUUGUCGUUUUCAAUUCCUCAAUACGUUUGAUCACUGCCUUCUCAUUAUCACUUGGCUUGGUUUGUCAGUCAGUGAUCGUUCUAUGUAUUUUGUUAUAUUGCUAUUACACAGCACAAAUUUCCACACUUGGACAUUGUGUAUAAACGUAAUGUAUCAUAUGCCUGUUGACCUAAGACCACUUAUCGUAUUAAAUUUUAUUGAUUUCGUUAAUGCAUAAUAUAGAUGGCCAUUUGCAUUGUUAAAUAAACAGUGUGGAUUAAUUGUUGAUAGCUGGUGAGCCUGUGACUACUUGUGAUUGUGUGGGAUGAGUCACUUUGUUUUUAGUUUUCUUUCUUGGUUGAGUUAUAGACUUGCCUUUCUUUUGUAGGGAUUUUCUCUUAGCUCUUCUAUCUCUUCUGUAAGUUUUCGAAGACUUUCAUCAUUCCCGCUGAAAUAUUUUCAUGACUUUUAUACUUCCACAGACCUUUUCCCUUAUUCACAUAAUCAAGGUUUCGCCCGUUUUUAAUCAUUUAAUGGAUUUGUUCGGUACAGAGGCGUUCCAACCGUUUUAGUGCUCCCAUUUUUCAAAACAUUUAGUCUGAACAUUAUCAAAAUGUGUCCUUAAAUUAUCGUUAGCAAUUCUGGAUAAACUGAGCUUCAUACAGGUUGAACUAAUGAGACAUGAUACUCCGAAAGUAGCAAUGCUUUAGUUUCUUACAUGACUUGGGUUGGAUCCUUCAGGGAAUUACUGAGCCAAUGCUAUAUAUAGGAGGAUGGUUUCCUGCAUAGCAUCAAAAACUUGGUAUUGUGUUCCAGAUGAUGCGGCUUUGUGAUUUGAGAACGUUGUCAAAGAAAAUGUGUACAGGGAGGAUAUUCUGUCAGCAAAUGGUGAGUAUGGAGCUUUUGAUGUUCUUUCGGGAAAAACGGCAUGUUUCCUCCAAAUAUUCUGCUGAAGAGUAUACCAUGCUGGCUUUAG